UACAGAGGUCUCAAGCGUUGUUCGGAUUCAUUGGGCGUAAAGGGUGCGUAGGUGGCGUCGUAAGUCAGGUGUGAAAUCUCGGGGCUUAACUCCGAAACUGCAUUUGAUACCGCGGUGCUUGAGGACUGGAGAGGAGACUGGAAUUUACGGUGUAGCAGUGAAAUGCGUAGAGAUCGUAAGGAAGACCAGUGGCGAAGGCGGGUCUCUGGACAGUUCCUGACACUGAGGCACGAAGGCCAGGGGAGCAAACGGG
rnacentral:rRNA from 1 species